GGGGCGCUGGUCGUGGUUGUCGAGGGGGUGCUGGUCGUGGUUGUCGAGGGGGCGCUGGUCGUCGUGCUCGAGGGGGCACUGGUCGUCGUGCUCGAGGGGGCGCUGGUCGUCGUGCUCGAGGGGGCACUGGUCGUCGUGCUCGAGGGGGCGCUGGUCGUGGUUGUCGAGGGGGCGCUGGUCGAUGUGGUGGACGGGGCGCUGGUCGUUGUGCUCGAGGGGGCGCUGGUCGUCGUGCUCGAGGGGCCGCUGGUCGUCGUGCUCGAGGGGCCGCUGGUCGCG